GCCCGGCUGGCGCAAUGGUAGCGCGCAAGACUUCUAUUAUUACAGAGUGAAGGAUUAUAUCUUGCCACUGCCAUCUUGAGGCUGUGGGUUCGAGUCCCACGUCGGGUG